rnacentral:rRNA from 1 species
GAUGAACGCUGGCGGCGUGCCUAAUACAUGCAAGUCGAGCGAACAGACGAGGAGCUUGCUCCUCUGACGUUAGCGGCGGACGGGUGAGUAACACGUGGAUAACCUACCUAUAAGACUGGGAUAACCUCGGGAAACCGGAGCUAAUACCGGAUAAUAUAUUGAACCGCAUGGUUCAAUAGUGAAAGACGGUUUCGCUGUCACUUAUAGAUGGAUCCGCGCCGCAUUAGCUAGUUGGUAAGGUAACGGCUUACCAAGGCAACGAUGCGUAGCCGACCUGAGAGGGUGAUCGGCCACACUGGAACUGAGACACGGUCCAGACUCCUACGGGAGGCAGCAGUAGGGAAUCUUCCGCAAUGGGCGAAAGCCUGACGGAGCAACGCCGCGUGAGUGAUGAAGGUCUUCGGAUCGUAAAACUCUGUUAUUAGGGAAGAACAAAUGUGUAAGUAACUAUGCACGUCUUGACGGUACCUAAUCAGAAAGCCACGGCUAACUACGUG